UUUCUUUUGUUAUACAAGAAGCUUUAUGAUGAACUUUAACACACAAUGAUUGCGUUAUGUGUUGCGCGUGGCGCAGGAACUAUCAAAAUAAAAUUGAUUAUGUGUGUUAAAAUAUAAAUUAACAUGUAAGUUGCUUUGCGUUGUGUGAGCGUGAAAUUUUGAUAAAUCUUUUUAAUUCCUGCUUGCUUGGUAAAACACAUAGCAUAGUUUAUAUUCUUAUAGUCUUUGCAGCGAUUAUUUGCUAAAAAAAAAUACGUUGUACCAAGGAACAACAAGAAAGGAAAAAGUAAAUUUAAUCAACUUAAUAAAAAUAAUAUCAAAUAAAACUGUUAUAUUGGCAAAAAAAAAGAAAAGAAAAUGGAUAACCACUAAUCAACAUGGUAUGUGAUAGGCGAACAAUUAUACGACAAGUGCUUACCAAGCUUUCGGAACAAAGUAGUAAAAGAAAAAGUCUGGGCCGCUAUAUCCAAGGAAGUGGACACGUCUAAUAAUUGAAAAACGCAAUGUGAGGUAGAGGUCGCUGAAAGAUGGCUUCACUAAGGACUAUAACAGGAAUAGCAUUGAAUAAGUAAGUGCGAUAUGUAUAUGAGCAUUGUGUGUGUAUACACCUUGUUUUAUAGGAAUUAAACAAGUUUGGAAACAAUGGUGGAAUUGUUUGAAAGUCCGGCACCGUCUAACGACGAGCCACAUAGUUGCGUGUUUAGUUCUUGCAACAUAUUCGGCUGCUUCAAAUACAAAUCUGAAGAUGGCAAAUAUUUGGAAAUAAUGUACAAAUUGAUGGAUAUAUUGAAACGAAAAAUUCAAAGGGAUGACCAAGAGAAGAAGAGAAAGGAAGAAAAAUGGGAUUAAUUCAAUAAGCUUUUUGGAACAAUGCUCAAGAAAGUGGACCCUUAACGGGUGAGAGAAUUUGAAAGUGGAAUGGCUCAGCUGUGCAAACAAGAUAAUCAAGGAAAUGUUGAAUGGUUACGGCAUCAUGUAAUGUCAAAUAUAUAAUAUUAGACAUGGGCCAGAAACGUAUACUUAAUUAGAGACAUAUAGCGGCUUCAUUAAAGUUUUUCAUUAUAAAUGAAUAUCAUAUAUUAUUUAUUGCAUUGCUUUUUCAUUAUAAAUGAAUUUUUUUUUUUUGAUUCAAAUAAACUUGCGUGGAUUCAACGUUUA